GUGGCGAAACCCCUCUCCUCCCUGAGCACCGAUUGGUGUAACCAGUUUUUGCGCCCUUUCGCCUGAUUGGGCAGCGAAACUCCUCUCCUCCCUGCAAGCUUAUUGGCGCAAUUUGGUUUUGCGCCUUUAAGCUGAUUGGUUGUUGCUUGGUUUAGGCGCGAAGUUUGAAUUCGCCGGACUAAACCAAGCAACUCCAUGGAACUAAUUUCGGGGAUGUACAGAACCUCGAGCCCUAGAAUUUAGACGAUGAUUUCUUGGGCUCUGUAUAUCUGAUCGCUCCACUAUUUGCAGGGAUCCCAGAUGGGACCCAGGGCUAUCUAGUGAUAUAGGUUUUAUCUGUGUGACCCCUUCCUUUCCCGGGGCGCCAAGCCCCAAAGUUUACCCCCCGGUAUGUAAUGUGUUUUAAU